rnacentral:Y_RNA from 1 species
GGCUGGUCCCAGUGCAGUGGUGUUUACAACUAACUGAUCACAACCAGGUACAGAUUUCUGUGCUCCUUCUCCACUCCCACUGCUUCACUUGACUAGCCUUUA